CCCCUAGAUGUUCUGGGCCGCACGCGCGCUACACUGAACAGUUCAACAAGUCUUAACCUUGGCCGAUAGGUCUGGGUAAACUUUGAACGCUGUUCGUGAUUGGGAUAGACCUUUGCAAUUAUGGGUCUUCAACGAGGAAUUCCUAGUAAACGCAAGUCAUCAGCUUGCAUUGAUUACGUCCCUGCCCUUUGUACACACCGCCCGUCGCACCUACCGAUUGAAUGGUCCGGUGAAAUCUCGGGACGGCGGCUUGGUCGCUUGCGUCCGACUGCUGAAACUUGAUUAAACCAUAUCAUUUAGAGGAAGGUGAANUCGUAACA
rnacentral:rRNA from 1 species